rnacentral:rRNA from 1 species
CCCUUAGAUGUUCUGGGCCGCACGCGCGCUACACUGACGGAUUCAACGAGCUUACAACCUUGGCCGAAAGGUCUGGGUAAUCUCCAAAAUCCGUCGUGAUGGGGAUAGAUUAUUGCAAUUAUUAAUCUUCAACGAGGAAUGCCUAGUAAGCGCAAGUCAUCAGCUUGCGUUGAUUACGUCCCUGCCCUUUGUACACACCGCCCGUCGCUCCUACCGAUUGAAUGGUCCGGUGAAGCGUUUGGACUAUGGUUUUCUGGUGGUCCGCCGUUGGAUUACCGUGGGAAGUUCGUUAAACCUUAUCAUUUAGAGGAAGGAGAAGUCGUAACA